GGUUCUAUAGUAAAACUUAUAAUAUUAGAUUGCAAAUCUAAAGAUGUGCUAAAGCACUGGAACUU
rnacentral:tRNA from 1 species